rnacentral:tRNA from 1 species
GGUAAAAUGGCCGAGCGAAUAGGCGGUGGGCUGUAGACCCAACUAGAGAGGUUCAACUCCUCUUUUUACCA